rnacentral:rRNA from 1 species
UACGGCGGUUAUGGCGAAGGGGAAACACCCGGUUACAUUCCGAACCCGGAAGUUAAGC